UACCUUUACACAGGUGUGCAUACUCUUGCCCUUGGUAGUUUCCGAACAGUUUAUAUCACACAUGUUUUAAUAGAGACGUAAGUUUUUAAUUGUAAUCAUCACACUUUUAGAUUUAGUGCACAUUACUGUACUGUGACCCACGAUCACAUACACAUUUCAGGUGACGAUUGGCUACACGUAUGUUUAUCGAUGUUGUAUGUAAUAUGAUGUAACGUUACAUAGUCCAGCGUGCAGUUCCUGUUCCACUCAACGUGACGCAGUUAUUUUUAAGUGGCAGCACAACACAGAAGGAAGUGUUUUGGUACCUGGCAAAGGUGAGGUUGGUACGUUAAACAAUUAGCCUUUCGCUUUAAUUGCAUUUUUGCCUUGGCCUUUGUACGUUGUUUUUUUCUCACUUUGGGGUAUCAGUCUAGUUGUUGUUGAUCAAGGCAAGACAAGUAAAGGUAAAGUACCGAUACAGCUGCUCACAUGGCAACACACUCUUACUUCUUCUGAAAGUCCCUUGUCGUCAUCUACGCUCAUUAUAGAUCAUUACAUCAUAUGGGGGGAUUCCCCAGCCGUGGGUAUAUCGAUUACUUAAAUGUUUUCCUUGCCUCCUUGGAGACAUGGGAAAGACCAAAACUGUGUCUAGCAGUCAUUACAACUAGUCCGGCCCUGUAUAAUAUUGCAAGUUCCGAAGAGAAACAUAUUUGUACCGAUUAAGGACCAUGAAUAUUACAAGGUGAAGUAGGUGUACAGAAGUUGGUUCUUCGUAAUCGCAAGGACAUUGCCGGUGUUCUGGUAACACCUGUCCGGCGUCAAAACAAUGACAUCACCAGUUGAGGUACCGGUUACUGUUUACUGACAUACACAUAAAACAUCUUUGUAUUUCGCCAGUCCACGUGACUGUGGCAGCAACGGUUAACAAACACGCGCCUAUUUAAUCGACAGCAGUCUAAAGCGUCCCUACACAUUGGCGAGAGGAGGUCUUCAUUGCGGUUAUCUGGCUAACGUUUCUUAGGAGCUAUGGCAAGUGACGGGGCCCCAGCAGGAUGGAGGGAUGUUUUUGAGACAGAGAUCCGUGAAGUGUUCAAAGCUAAAGACGACUGGACCUUGACCCAGGUUGAUAAAUUACCCAAGAUCAAUCAAGCCAAGGACCGUGGGUGGAAACAAUUCAAAGACAAAGCUAAGGUUCGGUUUGAGUGCGGAAGGUGUGACCACGUCUGGACGUCCGUCAGGGGUCUCGUCAGCUUCCACUACCGCCUCAAGGAGACAGGUGAAAUAAAAAUGUGGCUUCUUAGACAGAAGUGCCAUUCUUGCAAGGAUGAU